rnacentral:rRNA from 1 species
GAGAAGUAAUUCACCUUUUGUUCUAGCGGCGGACGGGUGAGUAACGCGUGAGCAACCUGUCCUUGUCUGGGGGAUAAGGAGCCGAAAGGCUCUCUAAUACCGCAUGAGACCACGGGAUCACAUGGUUCUGAGGUCAAAGGAUUUCGGUCCGGACAGGGGUGGGCUCGCGUCUGAUUAGCUAGUUGGUGGGGUAAGGGCUCUUCAAGGCCACGAUCAGUAGCCGACCUGAGAGGGUAUCGGCACAUGGACUGAGACACGUCAAUCUACGGAGGCAGCAGUGGGAUAUGGUCAUUGGGCGAAGCCUGACCCAGCACGCCGCGUGAAGGAAGAAGGGUUUCGGGUCGUAAACUCUAUCCAGAUGAAGAUAAUGACGGUAAUCUGAAGGAAGCCCCGGCUAACUACGUGCAGCAGCCGCGGUAAUACGUAGGGGGCAAGCGUGUCCGGAAUGAUUGGGCGUAAAGGGCGCGUAGGCGGCCUUUUAAGUCCGAUGUGAAAGUCCUGCUUUUAAGGUGGGAAUUGCAUUGGAAACUGGAAGGCUUGAGUGCAGGAGAGGUAAGUGGAAUUCCCGGUGUAGCGGUGAAAUGCGUAGAGAUCGGGAGGAACACCAGUGGCGAAGGCGACUUACUGGACUGUAACUGACGCUGAGGCGCGAAAGUGUGGGGAGCAAACAGGAUUAGAUACCCUGGUAGUCCACACGGUAAACGAUGAGUGCUAGGUGUAGGAGGUAUCGACCCCUUCUGUGCCGGAGUCAACACAAUAAGCACUCCGCCUGGGGAGUACGGCCGCAAGGUUGAAACUCAAAGGAAUUGACGGGGGCCCGCACAAGCAGCGGAGCAUGUUGUUUAAUUCGAAGCAACGCGAAGAACCUUACCAGGUCUUGACACCCAGUAAAAACUGUAGAGAUACAGUGUGACUUCGGUCAUACUGAGACAGGUGGUGCAUGGUUGUCGUCAGCUCGUGUCGUGAGAUGUUGGUUUAAGUCCGCAACGAGCGCACCCUUGUGAUUAGUUACUAACGCGUAGAGGCGAGGACUCUUAUAAGACUGCGGGACAACUCGGAGGAAGGUGGGGACGACGUCAAAUCAUCAUGCCCCUUAUGACCUGGCUACAAACGUGCUACAUGGGCACUACAGGAGCUGCGACCUCGUAGGUAGCGAAUCUCAUACGUGGUCCCAGUUGUUCUUUUGGGCUGCAACCCGCCCACAUGAAGUCGGAGUUGCUAGUAAUCGCGAAUCAGCAUGUCGCGGUGAAUACGUUCCCGGGCCUUGUACACACCGCCCGUCACACCAUGGGAGUUGAUAGCGCCCGAAGUCGGUGAGGCAACCGUAAGGAGUCAGCCGCCGAAGGUGAGAUCAAUGACUGGGGGAAGUCGUAACAAGGUAACC